rnacentral:rRNA from 1 species
GCCUAACACAUGCAAGUCGAGCGGCAGCGACAUAAACAAUCCUUCGGGUGCGCUUAUGGGCGGCGAGCGGCGGACGGGUGAGUAAUGCCUGGGAAACUACCCUAGUGUGGGGGAUAACCAUUGGAAACGAUGGCUAAUACCGCAUAAUCUCCUUUCUUUAGGUAGAGGGGAGCAAAGCGGGGGACCUUCGGGCCUCGCGCGCUAGGAUGUGCCCAGGUGAGAUUAGCUAGUUGGUGAGGUAAGAGCUCACCAAGGCGACGAUCUCUAGCUGGUCUGAGAGGAUGAUCAGCCACACUGGAACUGAGACACGGUCCAGACUCCUACGGGAGGCAGCAGUGGGGAAUAUUGCACAAUGGGGGAAACCCUGAUGCAGCCAUGCCGCGUGUGUGAAGAAGGCCUUCGGGUUGUAAAGCACUUUCAGUUGUGAGGAAGGCAUAUACGUUAAUAGCGUGUGUGUUUGACGUUAGCAACAGAAGAAGCACCGGCUAACUCCGUGCCAGCAGCCGCGGUAAUACGGAGGGUGCGAGCGUUAAUCGGAAUUACUGGGCGUAAAGCGCAUGCAGGCGGCUUGUUAAGCCAGAUGUGAAAGCCCGGGGCUCAACCUCGGAAUAGCAUUUGGAACUGGCAGGCUAGAGUCUUGUAGAGGGGGGUAGAAUUUCAGGUGUAGCGGUGAAAUGCGUAGAGAUCUGAAGGAAUACCGGU